rnacentral:rRNA from 1 species
CCUACGGGUGGCAGCAGUAGGGAAUAUUGCUCAAUGGGGGAAACCCUGAAGCAGCAACGCCGCGUGGAGGAUGAAGGUUUUCGGAUUGUUCACUCCUUUUGUUCGUGAAGCUAAUGACGGUAUCUCACGAAUAAGCACUGGCUAACUCCGUGCCAGCAGCCGCGGUACUACGGCGGGUGCAAGCGUUACUCGGAAUCACUGGGCGUAAAGAGCGCGUAGGCGGGAUAGCAAGUCAGAUGUUAAAUCCUAUGGCUUAACAAUAGAACUGCAGUUGAAACUGUUAUUCUAGAGUAGGGGAGAGGUAGGUGGAAGUCGUGGUGUAGGGGGAAAAUCCGUAGAGAUCAAGAGGAAUACUCAUUGCGAAGGCGACCUGCUAGAACAUAACUGACGCUGAUGCGCGAAAGCGUGGGGAGCAAACAGGAUUAGAUACCCCUGUAGUC